rnacentral:rRNA from 1 species
CGGACAGUUGCGGCCGUGUAAGACAUGCAAGUCGAACGAGAAGCUUACUUAGCUUGCUUUGAAAGUUUCUAGUGGCGAACGGGUGAGUAACACGUGAGUUACCUGCCUCGAAGUGGGAGAUAGCCCGGGGAAACUCGGAUUAAUACCCCAUGUGAUCGUAAGAUUAAAGGCGGCUUCGGCUGUCGCUUCGAGAUGGGCUCGCGGCCUAUCAGUUAGUUGGUGAGGUAAAAGCUCACCAAGACGAUGACGGGUAGCUGGUCUGAGAGGACGACCAGUCACACUGGAACUGAGACACGGUCCAGACACCUACGGGUGGCAGCAGUCGAGAAUCAUUCGCAAUGGACGAAAGUCUGACGGUGCGACGCCGCGUGGAGGAUGAAGGCCCUAGGGUCGUAAACUCCUGUCAUCAGGGAGUAAUUACUUAUGUAGUAACUGACAUAGGUCUUGAUAGUACCUGAAGAGGAAGGGACGGCAAACUUCGUGCCAGCAGCCGCGGUAAUACGAAGGUCCCAAGCGUUGUUCGGAUUUACUGGGCGUAAAGCGUCUGUAGGCGGGAUGGUAAGUCAGAUGUGAAAUCCCGGGGCUCAACCCCGGAACUGCAUCCGAUACUGCCAACCUAGAGGGUCGGAGGGGAGUCUGGAAUUCUCGGUGUAGCAGUGAAAUGCGUAGAUAUCGAGAGGAACACUCGUGGCGAAGGCGAGACUCUGGACGACACCUGACGCUGAGAGACGAAGGCCAGGGUAGCGAAAAGGAUUAGAUACCCUUGUAGUCCUGGCAGUAAACGGUGCACGCUUGGUGUGGGAAGGUUCGACCCUUUCCGUGCCGGAGCUAACGCGUUAAGCGUGCCGCCUGGGGAGUACGGUCGCAAGAUUAAAACUCAAAGAAAUUGACGGGGACCCGCACAAGCGGUGGAGCAUGUGGCUUGAUUCGAUGCAACGCGAAGAACCUUACCUGGGCUUGACAUGUUAGUCGUAGAUUUGUGAAAGCUUAUCGUCACUUCGGUGGACUAUCACAGGUGCUGCAUGCUGUCGUCAGCUCGUGUCGUGAGAUGUUGGGGUUAAGUCCCGUAACGAGCGCACCCCUAUGACUGUGCAGCGAAUAAUGCGGGGACUUCUGUUCAGAACUGCCCAGAUUAACUGG